rnacentral:rRNA from 1 species
GGGUGCGAUCAUACCAGCAUUAAUGCACCGGAUCCCAUCAGAACUCCGCAGUUAAGCACGCUUGGGCUAGAGUAGUAUUGGGAUGAGUGACCUCCCGGGAAGUCCUAGUGUUGCACCCU